CCGUCCGUAUGUCACAGCCACUUUUUUCCGAAACUAUAAGAACUAUACUGUUGAAACUUGGUAAGUAGAUGUAUUUUGUGAACCGGAUUAAGAUUUUCACACAAAAAUAGAAAAAAAACAAUAAAUUUUGAGGGUUCCCCAUACUUAGAACUGAAACUCAAAAUUUUUAUUUUCAUCAAACCCAUACGUGUGGGCUAUCUAUGGAUAGGUCUUCAAAAAUGAUAUUGAGGUUUCUAAUAUCAUUUUUUUCUAAACUGAAUAGUUUGCGCGAGAGACACUUCCAAAGUGGUAAAAUGUGUCCCCCCCCCCUGUAACUUCUAAAAUAAGAGAAUGAUAAAACUAAAAAAAAUAUAUGAUGUACAUUACCAUGCAAACUUCCACUGAAAAUUGGUUUGAACGAGAUCUAGUAAGUAGUUUUUUUUUAAUACAACUGAAACUCAAAAAAAUUUUUUUUUUCAUACCCAUACGUGUGGGGUAUCUAUGGAUAGGUCUUCAAAAAUGAUAUUGAGGUUUCUAAUAUCAUUUUUUUCUAAACUGAAUAGUUUGCGCGAGAGACACUUCCAAAGUGGUAAAAUGUGUGUCCCCCCCCCCUGUAACUUCUAAAAUAAGAGAAUGAUAAAACUAAAAAAAAUAUAUGAUGUACAUUACCAUGCAAACUUCCACCGAAAAUUGGUUUGAACGAAAUCUAGUAAGUAGUUUUUUUUUAAUACGUCAUAAA